GAUGCCUCUUUUCAUUAUGCUUGACCUUAUAUGAAGCGAUAAUCUAGACGAAUUUUACGAAGCCUAUCAUCUGUGA
rnacentral:tRNA from 1 species